CCUACGGGGUGCAGCAGUAGGGAAUAUUGCUCAAUGGGGGAAACCCUGAAGCAGCAACGCCGCGUGGAGGAUGAAGGUUUUCGGAUUGUAAACUCCUUUUGUUAGAGAAGAUAAUGACGGUAUCUAACGAAUAAGCACCGGCUAACUCCGUGCCAGCAGCCGCGGUAAUACGGAGGGUGCAAGCGUUACUCGGAAUCACUGGGCGGAAAGAGCGCGUAGGCGGGAUAGCAAGUCAGAUGUGAAAUCCUAUGGCUUAACCAUAGAACUGCAUUUGAAACUGUUAUUCUAGAGUAUGGGAGAGGUAGGUGGAAUUCUUGGUGUAGGGGUAAAAUCCGUAGAGAGCAAGAGGAAUACUCAUUGCGAAGGCGACCUGCUAGAACAUAACUGACGCUGAUGCGCGAAAGCGUGGGGAGCAAACAGGAUUAGAUACCCCGGUAGUC
rnacentral:rRNA from 1 species